CACCUUAACCUUCCCCCCUUGGUUGGUCGUCCGUUUCGGUCCCCUACCCCGAACCGUACGUCGGUACCUUUUAACCGUUUAACGGGGAAACGGGACUAGGGUAACGGUAAACGUACGAAACGACGUACGUAAGGAAGUUAGUUAGGGGUACGGGGACAGGGAAGGGUAACUUUCCCGUUGGGUUAGGUACGGUCGGGUAAGUAAAAGUCGGUACGGUAAGGAAGUACUACGAAGGGGAAACGGAAACCCAACCCGUAGGGUCGGGAACGGAAACGGGGCCGGGUCCUACCUACGUACGGGAACGUAAACUUAAACGUACGGUUACGGUUUAGGGACGGUCCGUAAACGGAAAACGGUCGGGGUAGGGGGACGAACCAAAACGGAAGGUUAAGUUUAAGAACCUUACCCGGUUAGGGUUACCGUACCCGACCGGUAACCCGGUAAAACGUAGUUGGUUACGUUAACGUAGGUUGGGUUAGGGGAGAACAAGCUUCGUUCGGUCGCCGUCAACAACGCAAGUAAGUACCACCACGGUGGGAGUUACGUCACAAGAUAGAACUAGAAAGUAUGGACGGGACCCGCACAAGCGGUGGAGCAUGUGGUUUAAUUCGAAGCAACGCGAAGAAC
rnacentral:rRNA from 1 species